ACACACCGCACCGGGUACUCGUUUGAGGCCGAGUCGACGUAGGGGAGGCUCAGGACCGGUUCAGAAAAUCGUCACUGGCGGUGUUGGCCACGAGCGGGAAUGGAACUCGGCUGGUCGGGUGUUAACAAACUUAAACUCUGACCCCGCUCUCUGACGUCACCGCGCAUCGUGACCUCAUUGGCGUCAUACUCCAGGGGGAGAUGUGCUUGCUGGUGACGUCAUGUCACCCACCCUGACCACCGCGCUCUUGAGCUUGACGUCACCUCCGCUCGGCCGCUGCCGAUAACUGUUCCAGCGCCAAUCCUUAUUUGGGCAAAGCCACGCCCAGUGACUGGCGGCUCAUUAAUAUAAUGUUUGUGAGGGCCGGGCUCAUUAGCAUAAUGUUUUUUUACGUUACGAGCCGCUCGUUGUGGGAGGGGAGUAUCUUGUACCCCGCAAGUGACGUCAUGUCACCUGCUGUUGCGUGACGUCUCCGAGGUAACAGGAAGUUGCCACUCCUUUGCACUCAAAUCCGAGGCCACGCCCGCGUUGAGCUGCCGAAGCGACCUGCCCACAACAACAACAAGCUGUCACUUCCUCUGUCGCUUCCUCUGCACAAUUUGUCUGAUGGAGCAAAGGCACUUGGCGCAGCUCAGUACCACAAGGCAACAAUGCGACCGGUGUGCAUACUGCAUGGAUCGUCCUGCACAUUUGACACGGCACAAGAGAACUCACACAGGAGAGAAACCCUUCAAGUGCAAUGUGUGUGGGAAGGUGUUUGCACAUUCAUCUGCUGUUGUAAUACACCAGAGAACACACACGGGAGAGAAACCCUUCAGGUGCAGUGUG